CAAGAGUCCAUCACGUUAAAGAAACUGGAUUCCCCCACACAGAGCACCUUUCUAGGGACGAGCUUUCCAAUCAGCCCUCCCUGCUCUCCCAGCCAGUCUAACACUUCCACAAGAACUUGGAUUGAACCAAACAGCUGUUGAGUCAUGAAAUGACUCCGAAGGAUGCCUCCUAGUUUUUACUGAAAGCCGGAUUUGGUGUACUGAGCAAGAACUGAAGUAAAUUUGCUGUUAGAAGGAUGGUAGCUAUCUUACGUUGCUGUGUCGAGUGGUCUUUGGGUGACCCUGAGAACUUCUCAGAAAGAGAGCUCAGAGUAUAGCAUCUGCAGCUUCGAUCUGUUUGCCUCGUGUCAAUACAGAGGAGAAACCUUAAGGUCAGCAUGUGCUGGAACCGGACAGCUGCCCUGCUCUCUACGUGAACUAGGUUCUGAUGAACUCUCACUGGACAGCAAGCGUUGGUCAUGGAAAACACUCUGGGCAUGUUUCAAGUGUUAGCUCACUUUUCCUCGUGCCAAGGACACACGGCGAAUUUUCUUGGCUCCUGUCAUGAGAACCUGCUGGCAUCCUCUCUGCUAAACUUAAUGAAGCAGAGCUUCUCCACUCUCUCUUGACCUUCUAUAAACUUAGCUUCCUGAAAUCCUUCACAUUACCGUCUAGUCUAGGCGAGCCUUUUGGUGUCUCUAGUGAGCUCUGCCGCAGUGAGAAGAUCACAGCUGGCUCUUAGAACUGAAGGUUCGGGUGUGGGGUGGCAGUCCUCUCUGGUGACGCGGUACUCUGCCACAUCUAAGAAAAGCCACUGGUUUUCUGGUUUUCAGUUUUUCCAGAUACUUCUUUUUAAUGUCAUAACAAUAAGCGUGGUAGUUUCUAUCUUCCCAUAAGAGGCGGGCACUGAAACCGGAACAUAUUUGCAUCAUUUUGAACGUAACGUAUUUAAAAGGAGUGACACCGUGGUUACCAUCUGGUUGCUAGAUUAAAAUUUUGUGGUUAGGAAAAUAUUUUUGAAAGUACGAGGCUAAGCGAUCAACCCAUAAAACUUUGUGCAAAUGGACAAGUGUUCCAUGGAUAAAAAUCCCUUUAGCCAUCGGGAGGGCGGUAGCCAUAAAUCCGUUUUUCUUGCAGGCAAUUUUACCCUUUCAGCAGAUGAAGGCACAGUUAAAACGAAAUCCAUCAUCUGAGCAAACUCUUUCCCCACUUACUGCGUUAACUGAGGUGUGGCUAGAUUUUCUUAGGAAGACAUUCGUCUUCUGAGGGCCUGGGCUAGGGUUUGUGUUAAGCAGUCAAAGGCACUUACCUGGAAUUCAAAAUGUAAAAGAGACCAAAAGGGAAAUAUCUUAGUAAUGAAGACAAGUAAUACUCUAGGGCAGCAAUUGGAGAAAAAAAAGAUAAAUGAGUGGAGAAAAAUUCAUGAAGAGCAAAAUAUCACGGUGUGUUUGAACAAAGUCAGAAGAAGCAGUUCCAUGCUGGAACCAGAGGGCAGAACUCCAUCUUGCACUUUGUCCAUGCUUCCUUAAAUUUUGUACCCAUGAUAGUGUGCUAACUUCAGCCCAGCCGUGAGAAUAAAAGGUCUGGUCAUAAGACACUGAAAAGCACUUUCAGAUGCAUGUGAUAAAAAGGACAAUUAAGCGACGUUUGAUACAGGAAGGCUUCCAUACAGCUACUUGGAAAGUAUUGCCUAUUCCUUUUUCUCUUGUUUUUGGCUUUAAAUGAUAAAGCUGUUCUUUCACUCAGUAGGACUUUACAUUUGGAGGAAAGUGUUGAAGUGACAUGAAACACCUUUGUCUCCAGCAUAAGCACACACACAAACACACAUGGGGAACAGAAGAAGGCAGAGGGAGCGUGUGAAGCCCUGAGCGAAUGCGUGUUAUUGCCAUGGCCAGACCCCAGCCUCAGACCCAGAGGGAAUGCCCAGCCAUCCCUUCUGGUCAAUGUGUGGAUGUUGAUAGUGCAUGCAGAGAAUGCUCAGCAUGGAUUUCUCCCCUCUGGGUGUUUACAGCCUGAAGACUGUCUUAUACAGAGACUGUGCCACUGAAAUUAGCUGAACCUGUUUCUUUGAUCCACAUGUAUGCCCCGUCUCCUGUUAAUCUGAGUCUAAUAACCCCACCUCUAUGUUUAUCUAUCUGUAUCUAAUAACUCCGCCUCCUGUUUAUCUGUCUCUAAUAACCCCUCCUCCUUGACCAGCUCUAUGCAAUAGCUCUGCCUCUUCAUUCAACUGUAUUUAAUAAACACUGAGCUUCUGAGGUGCUGAGGUUUCUCCAUCAAAGAGCUUAGUCUACCUGGCCUAGCUUCUCUCUCUCUCUCUCUCUCUCUCUCUCUCUCUGUGUGUGUGUGUGUGUGUGUGUGUGUGUGUGUGUGUGUGUGUCCAUGUGUCUGUUUCUGCAUUCCCUUGCUACCCAGUCAGACCCAUUCCUGGAGUCUUGCUGAUCUCACACAUGUGCAGAUACACACACACACGCACACACAUGUUUGUGGGUAGGGAUGGUAGAUAAGGAAAAUCAACGUUUCUACUCUAAGAAUCUUUCUGUGGCUGUCUACAAUUAGGCAUCCGGUCUUCCCAUGACUUUGAACUCUGAGGUCACUCGAUCACUCUUGCUUUCUCAAGCUGUUUCUACCCUGAAAUAUCUGCCUUUAAAAAAAUGUGCAUGUGUGUAUACAUAGAUAUGUAUACACAUAUGUCUUUACUUUUUAAACUUUAAACACUUAAGGUCUACAACAUAGCAUCUUGAUAUAUGUCAUUAUGAUUUCUCCCAUCAGAAACAUCCUCCCAGACCCCCUUCUUUACACAAUAGCGCACCUGAGAUGCCUUCCCUUACCAUGUCUGUCUGAUCCUCUCUUCAUAGCUAAAGAGGCUUGAAUUUAUAUUCAAAUGCCAUUUUUUUCUAAUAAGAAGAAAGCUGUCUUUUAAGUACCACUGUCUUUUAGGGAAAUAUAGAGGUAUAUUUAAAUGUAUUGUCUGUGUCUAUUUUUAUCGCUUAUAUAAAUCCGUACCCUUCCACUGCAUAUACAG